ACUGUGANCCUUGUGAUUUAGCUGGUGAGAAUGGCUUGAGCUUGGUCAAAUUGGUUGAAAUUCGGAAUCUGCGUAGCAGCAGGUCCUCACCUUUUGGUGGGGAUGCGCGAGGCACUUAUCAAGUGUUGCGCGUUCCAUGUUUUUCGUGCCAGCUUGCCAGUGCACUUUCACAGGGUGUUCACCACGACCGGCAUCGCUGUCUGGCUGUUGCGGUUAAACCGGCCUUUCAUUGUCCUCGUGGCUUUGGAUUGUCGGGAUGGCAGGUAGCUCGCUAACUAGGCUUGUGGCUUGCUGCAGGCUCUAGCUCUCGGGUGUAAUUUGCUGACCGCAUUGGCACUGUGCAGUAUGUCGGAGACGGCGGCUUGUGGUGUGUGCGUGCGUGCCAGUUGGCUGGCGUGUCCGGGUUUGGUUGUUAUGUUGCCUGUGUUCACAGGCCUGAUAAUAGCUCGGGCUCGUUCGGCUGGCGGUUGCGUGCGUGGCACUUUCCAGGGCCAAUAGUCUGUGGUGUUGCGGUAGACUAUCCACCUGACCCGUCUUGAAACACGGACCAAGGAGAGUAACAUGUGCGCGAGUCAUUGGGCGUAACGAAACCCAAAGGCGAAGUGAAAGUAAAGGUCUGGCUUGUCCGGACUGAGGUGAGAUCUUGUCGUUUCUCACGCGCGGUAUUACCAAGCAUCGAACGGCAGGCGCAUCACCGGCCCGUCCCAUGGUGUGGUGACUCUCUUCGGGGGGUUCAUCACCGGGGCGGAGCAUGAGCGUACAUGUUGAGACCCGAAAGAUGGUGAACUAUGCUUGCGCAGGUUGAAGCCAGAGGAAACUCUGGUGGAGGACCGUAGCGAUUCUGACGUGCAAAUCGAUCGUCAGACGUGAGUAUAGGGGC
rnacentral:rRNA from 1 species